rnacentral:tRNA from 1 species
CCUGAAUAAAAGGAUAAUUUUGAUAGAAUUAAUAAUGUGUACCCCCGGCACCUUCAUAA